rnacentral:rRNA from 1 species
AGAAUCAACGCUGGCGGCGUGCCUAACACAUGCAAGUCGCACGAGAAAGGGUAGCAAUACCUGAGUAAAGUGGCGCACGGGUGAGUAACACGUGAAUAAUCUACCUCCGAGUGGGGAAUAACUGAGAGAAAUCUUAGCUAAUACCGCAUAACACUUACGAGUCAAAGCAGCAAUGCGCUUGGAGAGGGGUUCGCGGCCGAUUAGUUAGUUGGCGGGGUAAUGGCCCACCAAGACGAUGAUCGGUA